rnacentral:rRNA from 13 species
GUCAAGUGAAGAAGCGCAUACGGCGGAUGCCUUGGCAGUCAGAGGCGAUGAAAGACGUGGUAGCCUGCGAAAAGCUUCGGGGAGUCGGCAAACAGACUUUGAUCCGGAGAUGUCUGAAUGGGGGAACCCAGCCAUCAUAAGAUGGUUAUCUUGUACUGAAUACAUAGGUGCAAGAGGCGAACCAGGGGAACUGAAACAUCUAAGUACCCGAAGGAAAAGAAAUCAACCGAGAUUCCCUAAGUAGCGGCGAGCGAACGGGGACUAGCCCUUAAGCUAGACAACUGGUAGGAGAAGGCUCUGGAAAGUGCCGCCAUAGUGGGUGAUAGCCCCGUAUCCGAAACCUGAGUCCAGUGAAAUCGAGUAGGACGGGACACGUGGUAUCCUGUCUGAAUAUGGGGGGACCAUCCUCCAAGGCUAAAUACUCGUAAUCGACCGAU